ACCAGUCUUAGGAUUGACGACCUUAUGAAGAUGAUGAUGAUUAGACCUAGUUUUACAGGUAAGUGUAUUAUUUUCAGUUGUUUUUUCAAAAAAAUGUCACAAACAAACGUCACAAUCUGAUGAUUCUCAUACAAUUUUUUUAAAUGCCAGAAAAUAACUGUGCCAGGUGCAUAUGCGGCUUUUUUUGGCUACUUAUAUUGAUUUUCGUUUCAUUUUGGGUUUCAUGGAUUGGGUAUAUUCUCUAUGUUAUAGUCUGUCCAUUUGCACCUUGUUGCGAUUGUGCCGAGAUUAUAGCAGACGGUCUACUUUUCCUAGUCAGUUUUCCGAGAUACUGUUCGACGAAAAUGAUUCAUGGCGGUGAUUAGAUAUUGGACUUAAUUUAAUAUAGUCAAACGUAUAUUUUAUAGUAUGUAGGUAUGUACAUGUAUAACUGUUUUGUGUAAAUUAUUUUAUUACUGUAGUGCAUUAAUUGUAAUUCCAUAUUUUUUAAACAAUAGAUGCUACAAUAAGUCAUUGACCUAUGCUUAAUCUCAAAUUAUAAAUAAUAUUAAUUGGUGGACAUACAAUAAAUUUACCAUUAAAAUUUCUUCAGUUUCUACAACUGGUGAAGACCAUAUGCAUAUUUUAAAACAGUUAAGGUUAUUAUCUGAGCCUUGACCUUUAGGGGCUUAGACCGAACUCUACAGGGAUUUCAUUCGAAGCCGAACUGUAUGUCCUGCGACAAAAUAAUAUAUUAAUAAUAUAUAAUAAUCGGAUUUUUUUUUAUAAAACAAGAUUUUCAUCCUCUGCAGAUCUGGUUCUCGAUUUCAGUUCCUGGUAACCCGAAAAACUUUAGUUUUAGAGCCUUCAUUAUCAUAAGGUCGUCAGUCCUAAGACUGGUUGGACACGUACCUC